GGACAGUUUACUUUUAAAGAAAGAUCGGUGACCAUUUCAAAUGCUACCUUCUGGAGACAGCCAUCUUGACUUGAUUUACAUAGACACACAUCCUUACUGUAAUGAUUAUGGUGCUAGGCAGCUGCUCCUGAAAACUUCCUAGUAUUUCCUUGUUCUUCCUAGUAUUUCCCAGACUAAAACUAAUCUGUUCUUUGAAGCAAUUAGGGGAAUGAUUGCUUCCCCAUUCGCCUGCCAAAGUAACUGUAUGAUACUCAUUGUCUGCAU